AACAUUCCUGAAGUUAUCUUUUGACUGCGAGUUUUGUGAAGGGAGAGCAAAUUCAAACACUACAGACUCCCACAAGAGAACGCAUCAACAUUUGAUAGAAUGGCGGGAAAAACGGAUAUCCUGUUCCUUCUCGUGGUCCUCGCUCUCGGCUCGACGUCGGCGAUUCAGUUAAGUGACAUCAGUGAAGACGAACUCAACGCCUUGUUGGACCUGGUAUCCAAGCGGAACUACGAGCAAACGGUGUUGGGUGGCGGGCCCGAUGACUUGGAGGAGUUUGAUGGGCAGUUCGACAAGCGCGGACGGGGACGGGGCAGGAAAGUAUCUUUGGAAAAAUGCGUGAAUCCUGUGAGUUUGCGUAACUGCAUGUGUGAUCCUAGAUUCACGGACGACGAACCAUUGAAACGGUACAGGGUCUGCUUCAACAAUUAAAGCCUGGUGGACUUCUGAUCGUCGAGUCGAGGAAUAUGUACCACCAACAAUGGAGACAUUAUAUACUACAAAGUUUAUUAACCAGGAAAAAUGAAAACGUGGUCAUGAAAGGCCUCCAGAUUUUGCUUUCUUGUGGUGUUUUACAAAGAUGUAUGCAUCCUUAUAUUACGGUCGAGUUCGUCUCCGAAAUAAAGCAACUUGCUAUGCAUU